rnacentral:rRNA from 1 species
UACGUAGGGUGCAAGCGUUGUCCGGAAUUAUUGGGCGUAAAGAGCUCGUAGGCGGUUUGUCGCGUCUGCUGUGAAAACUCGGGGCUCAACUCCGAGCUUGCAGUGGGUACGGGCAGACUAGAGUGCGGUAGGGGAGACUGGAAUUCCUGGUGUAGCGGUGGAAUGCGCAGAUAUCAGGAGGAACACCGGUGGCGAAGGCGGGUCUCUGGGCCGUAACUGACGCUGAGGCACGAAAGCGUGGGGAGCAAACAGG